AACGUAGGUUCCGAGCGUUAUCCGGAUUUACUGGGCGUAAAGCGCGUUCAGGCGGUUUGGCAAGUCGGGCAUGAAAUCUCUCGGCUCAACCGGGAGAGGUUGUCCGAUACUGCUGGACUUGAGGGCAGUAGAGGGUGGUGGAAUUCCGGGUGUAGUGGUGAAAUGCGUAGAUAUCGGGAGGAACACCGGCGGCGAAGGCGGCUGCCUGGACCAGUCCUGACGCUGAGGCGCGAAAGCGUGGGGAGCGAACAGG
rnacentral:rRNA from 1 species